rnacentral:rRNA from 1 species
ACKGCUCAGUAACACGUGGCUAACCUGCCCUUGGGACGAGAACAACCCCGGGAAACUGGGGCUAACUCUCGAUAGGCGAGAAUCUCUGGAAUGAGUUUUCACCCAAAAAGUUUGAGGUUAUGCUCUUCAAACCGCCCAAGGAUGGGGCCGCGACCGAUCAGGUUGUUGGUGAGGUAAUGGCUCACCAAGCCUUUUACCGGUGCGGGCCGUGAGAGCGGGAGCCCGGAGAUGGGCACUGAGACAAGGGCCCAGGCCCUACGGGGCGCAGCAGUCGCGAAAACUUUGCAAUAAGCGAAAGCUUGACAGGGCUAUCCCGAGUGCCAUCCGCUGAGGAAGGCUUUUACCCAGUCUAGAACGCUGGGGGAAUAAGGAGAGGGCGAGUCUGGUGUCAGCCGCCGCGGUAAUACCAGCUCUCCGAGUGGUGUGGAUGUUUAUUGGGCCUAAAGCAUCCGUAGCUGGCUAGGCUAGUCCCCUGUUAAAUCCACCGAAUUAAUCGUUGGAUUGCGGGGGAUACUGCUUGGCUAGGGGACGAGAGAGGCAGACGGUAUUUCCGGGGUAGGGGUGAAAUCCUAUAAUCCCGGGAAGACCACCAGUGGCGAAGGCUGUCUGCUAGAACGCGCCCGACGGUGAGGGAUGAAAGCUGGGGGAGCGAACCGGAUUAGAUACCCGGGUAGUCCCAGCUGUAAACGAUGCAGACUAGGUGUUUGGACGGCCACGUGCCGUUCUAGUGCCGCAGGGAAGCUGUUAAGUCUGCCGCCUGGGGAGUACGAUCGCAAGAUUGAAACUUAAAGGAAUUGGCGGGGGAGCAC